GACGAACGCUGGCGGCGUGCUUAACACAUGCAAGUCGAACGGAAAGGCCCUGCUUUUGUGGGGUGCUCGAGUGGCGAACGGGUGAGUAACACGUGAGUAACCUGCCCUUGACUUUGGGAUAACUUCAGGAAACUGGGGCUAAUACCGGAUAGGAGCCCCUGCUGCAUGGUGGGGGUUGGAAAGUUUCGGCGGUUGGGGAUGGACUCGCGGCUUAUCAGCUUGUUGGUGGGGUAGUGGCUUACCAAGGCUUUGACGGGUAGCCGGCCUGAGAGGGUGACCGGCCACAUUGGGACUGAGAUACGGCCCAGACUCCUACGGGAGGCAGCAGUGGGGAAUAUUGCACAAUGGGCGGAAGCCUGAUGCAGCAACGCCGCGUGCGGGAUGGCGGCCUUCGGGUUGUAAACCGCUUUCGCCUGUGACGAAGCGUGAGUGACGGUAAUGGGUAAAGAAGCACCGGCUAACUACGUG
rnacentral:rRNA from 1 species